UACGAAGGGGGCUAGCGUUGCUCGGAAUUACUGGGCGUAAAGCGCACGUAGGCGGAUUGUUAAGUCGGGGGUGAAAUCCUGGAGCUCAACUCCAGAACUGCCUUCGAUACUGGCGAUCUCGAGUUCGGGAGAGGUGAGUGGAACUGCGAGUGUAGAGGUGAAAUUCGUAGAUAUUCGCAAGAACACCAGUGGCGAAGGCGGCUCACUGGCCCGGUACUGACGCUGAGGCACGAAAGCGUGGGGAGCAAACAGGG
rnacentral:rRNA from 1 species